CCUACGGGAGGCAGCAGUGGGGAAUAUUGGACAAUGGGGGGAACCCUGAUCCAGCGACGCCGCGUGAGUGAAGAAGUAUUUCGGUAUGUAAAGCUCUAUCAGCAGGGAAGAAAGAAAUGACGGUACCUGACUAAGAAGCCCCGGCUAACUACGUGCCAGCAGCCGCGGUAAUACGUAGGGGGCAAGCGUUAUCCGGAUUUACUGGGUGUAAAGGGAGCGUAGACGGCGAUGCAAGUCUGAAGUGAAAGGCGGGGGCCCAACCCCCGGACUGCUUUGGAAACUGUAUGGCUGGAGUGCAGGAGAGGUAAGUGGAAUUCCUAGUGUAGCGGUGAAAUGCGUAGAUAUUAGGAGGAACACCGAUUGCGAAGGCAGCUUACCAAGCUACUUCUGACGUUGAGGCACGAAAGCGUGGGGAGCAAACAGGAUUAGAUACCCCUGUAGUC
rnacentral:rRNA from 1 species